GCCGGUGGCGGGGCAAGCAACUAGAGUAGGAGGGCAACGCCGAGCUCAACGGAGACUCCUACGACAACUGUAGCAGGAGAGCGCCUACAACCGUUGUGGCAGGAGUACCUCGGUGGAGUGAAGUUGAGGUCUGGGAGAUCCAUUUUCUCCUGAAGAUAUGAAUAUGUAAGAUGAAGUAGAAGUACAAGUAGAAGCACAAGAUAUCUCCAAGGAGCUUUAGAUGAACAUCUUUCACAAUUUGUCUUAGGAAGACACUGGGUGGUGGAAUGAGGCAGGUAGGAGUCCUUUGUGCUGCUACUAAAGUCGGUGUUCGCUACACCUUAGGCAAGCUUGC
rnacentral:rRNA from 1 species